rnacentral:rRNA from 1 species
GACGUAGGGCGCGAGCGUUGUCCGGAUUUAUUGGGCGUAAAGAGCUCGUAGGCGGCUUGUUGCGUCGGCUGUGAAAUCCCGUGGCUUAACUGCGGGCUUGCAGCUGAUACGGGCGGGCUAGAGUUCGGUAGGGGAGACUGGAAUUCCUGGUGUAGCGGUGAAAUGCGCAGAUAUCAGGAAGAACACCCGUGGCGAAGGCGGUUCUCUGGGACGGUACUGACGCUGAGACGCGAAAGCGUGGGGAGCGAACAGG